CGCGCCUGCCUUGCUGCCAACUUAGCCAAAGCGGCUGAGGGGCCUCCGCCCAGCUCUGGGGAGAGCGGCGCCGGCGGAAGGGCGGGGCGAGAGCCCUGGACAUCAGCUCCUGGGACAGUUUCUCAAAGAAGGACCAAAGUUUUGUCAAGAACUCCCAGAUGAAGACCUUCCUAGACCUGUAAAGUGGGAUUACCCAGUUCUUGACUUCACAAGGAAGUUUCAACCAAUUCUGAUGGAACAACCAGGGAGGCCCAAAUGACUGCCACCCAUGAGCCAAGGACCUGAUCUCUUUUCCUUUAGACCUAAUGCCCUACUCUACCGGAGAUCCACAACCUUUCUAAUCCCCACCCCGCCUCCUCGUCCCGCCCCCCGCGCCCCAAAAACUAUGGAGAAAAAGGAGGUCUGCCCAAGGCUGGACCGAAGUCAUCCUGCCCCUUCUUCAAAUGAGAGAC
rnacentral:lncRNA from 1 species